GAUGAACGCUAGCGGGAGGCCUAACACAUGCAAGCCGAGCGGUAUUGUUUCUUCGGAAAUGAGAGAGCGGCGUACGGGUGCGUAACACGUGUGCAACCUGCCUUUAUCUGGGGGAUAGCCUUUCGAAAGGAAGAUUAAUACUCCAUAAUAUAUUGAACGGCAUCGUUUAAUAUUGAAAGCUCCGGCGGAUAGAGAUGGGCACGCGCAAGAUUAGCUAGUUGGUGAGGUAACGGCUCACCAAGGCGAUGAUCUUUAGGGGGCCUGAGAGGGUGAUCCCCCACACUGGUACUGAGACACGGACCAGACUCCUACGGGAGGCAGCAGUGAGGAAUAUUGGUCAAUGGGUGCAAGCCUGGACCAGCCAUCCCGCGUGAAGGACGACUGCCCUAUGGGUUGUAAACUUCUUUUGUAUAGGGAUAAACCUACCCUCGAGAGGGUAGCUGAAGGUACUAUACGAAUAAGCACCGGCUAACUCCGUG
rnacentral:rRNA from 1 species